rnacentral:lncRNA from 1 species
AGUUUUGACCCGAACGAAAUGUGUAUUGUCCCGGUGUGGGUGAAAUUGCAUAACUGGCCCCCAAUCUACUGGAAUGAAGUUGCUCUAGGCAAAUUUGCUAGUAAACUUGGCACUCCGAUCUGCUCCGAUGCGUUGACUAAAGAAAAAUUGAAAAUCUCGUAUGCUAGGCUCCUGGUGAAUGUGGAUGCCUCGAAACCUCUCAAAGAAGAGGUGAAAAUCAUCUAUCCAGAUGGCACGGCCACAAUGCAGAAAAUCGAGUACGAAUACAAGCCGAAAUAUUGCUCCCACUGCAAAACUCUUGCGCAUAACACGGCUAACUGCCCAAUACUGUACCCUCCAGCAGAACCUAAGGUGAUUCCGAUCAAGAAAGAUCAGAGGCCACCUGAACAAAUCUGGAAACAGAUUAUACGAGGAAAAGCCACGCCAGUUAAUACCCACACAUAUUUCGAGGAGCACUCCCAAGAUGAUAUACAUGCAGAAGCCCUGAUUACAGCUUUUGUCGGGAGCCAUGCAAAAGAGCCGGAUCCCCCCUAUUAUGGCAGCAGGCACUCAGAUUCAAGGCCAAAUUCACCUACCGAAUCCAAGAAAGAGGGAGAAUUCCUCAACUUAAGUCACUUUCCCAGGUAUGAAGGACCCUGGGCACCAUUGGCCGAACAAGAGGAAAUUCAGCAAUACGACCAUAAUUUCAAACCUGUGAGGAAGCAGCAAAUACAGCAAGACGGAAUUAACAAGCAACAUCUGGGGCAACGCAGAUGGGGAAACGACAAAGGGCAGGGCAGCAGUGCUAGGAAGGCCUAUGGCCUUUCCUCAGCGCAAUGAUUAUUUCUUCGUGGAAUAUCAGGGGCUUUAACAAGCCCCUGAAGCAGAAUGGGAUCAGGGAUCUCAUUCUUAAGAAUAAUAUCGACAUUUUUGGUAUAUUGGAAACGAAAGUCAAAACUCAAGCGUUGGUCGAUAAAAUUAUGCAAAACAAGUUCAGUGGUCUGUUGGCAGCAAACAAUUUAUGUCAGCACAGUGGGGGCAGAAUUCUCAUCAUAUGGAACCCGGCAAAGGUGCACCUUGAAGUCAGAAGCAUGAACAACCAAGCUAUUCACUGUUAUGCCACGUGUAAAAUCACCUCUAUGGAAUUCCACAUCUCCUUUGUGUACGGAUUAUACUCAAAUUCAGAUAGGAAAGCGCUGUGGCAAUCUAUUGAUAAAUAUGGGGAGAAUCUUCGAGAACCAUGGCUAAUCCUCGGUGACUUCAAUUGUGUUCUCAGUCCGGAAGAGAAGCAAGGGGGCAAUGAACCUAUCCCUUAUGCCAUUAGAGACUUCAAUGAUUGCAUGCAAACUAAUGGGAUUUCUGACCUCCCGUUUAAUGGCUGCCAUAUGACGUGGUCCAACUCCGGAACAGCAAACAUUAUCUGGAGCAAGCUUGAUAGAGCAAUGGUGAAUCAUUGGUGGUUUCAAGCCCCGAAUCAAGCUAACUUUCAGAGCUCGGUCACAUUCCACCCAUCGGGAGUCUUAUCUGAUCACUCCCCAUGCAUCAUCAACCUAUCCUCAGUGCAAAAGAGACCUAAGAAAGCAUUUAAAUUCUUCAACAUGUGGGUGCAGCAUCCGAAAUUCAAUGAAAUUGUGCAAGGAAAAUGGAACACGGGGAACUUCGGCACUGCACAGUACUGCCUAUGCAAAAAGCUUAAAGCUUUGAAGAAACCGCUUAUUGUCCUUAAUCAGCAAGAAUUCAGUCACAUCUCCCAAAGGGCAGCGAAAGGGAAGAAGGAACUGGAAGAUCUACAAAUCCGUAUGCAAUCAGACCUUAAUAACCUAGAUCUCGCUCAGGAUAUCAAAAACAAAGCAGCCAGAACCAAGUUCCUCAUGGAAGCCGAAAGGAGUUUCUUGACUCAGAAAGCGAAGAAUCACUAUAUCAAGCAUGCAGAUCGAAGUAACAAAGUGUUCUAUGGUGUAAUCAAUAAACGAGCAAAGAGCAACCACAUAGCCGCUGUGAUUCGGGAGGAUGGUUCAUCUACCACAUCCGAAAACGAAGUGAUUUCAGAAUUUAAUCACUUCUAUCAGGACCUUCUUGGGUCAGCUGAUCAUUGCACUCCUCUUAACCGAGAUAUUAUCAGCGUCGGACCAAUCCUGAGUGAAGACCAAGGUAGAGACCUUAUCAGACCAGUAUCUGUCCAAGAAAUUCGGUAUGCUCUUCAAGAGAUUGGUGACGAUAAAUCCCCUGGACCGGACGGAUAUAAUUCAUACUUUUUCAAGAAAGCAUGGUCAACAGUGGGCAGAGAUGUAAUUGAUGCAGUUCUUGAAUUCUUUAGAAAUGGGCGGCUCUUAAAGCAACUGAACCACACCACUCUUGCUCUUAUCCCAAAGUCUGAUCAUGCUUCUGCCGUAGGAGAUUAUCGACCUAUUGCUUGCUGCAACAUCGUUUAUAAAAUCAUCUCAAAAAUUAUUGCAACGAGGCUGAGCAGUGUUCUUGACCUCCUAGUGGAUAAAGCUCAAUCUGCCUUCAUCAAAGGAAG